GUUGUAUGGUUAAGUGACUAAGCGUACAUGGUGGAUGCCUUGGCAGUCAGAGGCGAUGAAGGACGUACUAACCUGCGAUAAGCCGUGAGCAGUCGGUAAGAGACAUUACGACUCACGGAUUUCCGAAUGGGGAAACCCACUCAGCAUAAGCUGGGUAUCGCUACGUGAAUACAUAGCGUAGCGAGGCGAACCGGGAGAACUG
rnacentral:rRNA from 1 species